rnacentral:lncRNA from 10 species
AGGAAGUCUCCACUGUCUCUUUUCUCACCAAAGGCAGGAACUGUCAGCAUUUGUGACCUCAAGCUAGCCCAUGUUCUGAUAUUAUGGCACGCAUUCCCGGGGAGGAUUAUUUGGAAGGAUUUUCGCGAAGAGAAACAUUUCAGCUGCUUUUUACAAGCACUGAUUGCCCAGGACAAGAGAAAACUCCAAGUAUUUUUUGCAAGGAAAAGAUGAUGAUACUGAUGAUGAUGGUGAUGGUGGUGGUGGUACUGAUUAGAGUGCUGAUGGUAGUAGUCCUGGUUGCAGAGAAGGUACUGUUCCCAUUGAAAUCAGUAAUGGCCAUGUGACCUGGUUCAACUCAUGAAAUGUAAGUGGAAGUUGAAUACAGACCUUAUGUGCAGAGGCUUUAAGAGUUAUGAGAUAGUUGUCAUACUCUUAUCCAU